ensembl:lncRNA
GUUAGGUGCUUAUCAAGGGCUGCAGAAAAAUAUAUGUUGUUAUAAGUGUGCGCAAAUACCAGAAGGUACACCUUUUUCUGUUUUGUUUCUGUUUACUAUUGGCUGAGUCAACCAAUAGCAUUGCACCUUUAACCUUCAACCUUUAACUUUCUCCAGGACCCUCUGCUUUCAUACCACAAGAUGUCUAAAAAGCCCCAUAAGCCCCCUAAGGGAGUGCGUACAUUUGCCACCACAGUGGUUUGGCCUGCCGAUGCGGGCAACAGGCCAGCUCCGAGAUGGUAUGUCCUUUCAUAGAUAGAGAAUUGUCAAAUGCAGGUCCGUGGACAACUCUCCUCGGGGGGCUUCAGAGAUGAUGUGUUUGUGAAUUUCACCCCCAGAAGUUAGGAGUUAAAAUUAAUAAAGUUAACAGGC